GACGAACGCUGGCGGCGUGCCUAAUACAUGCAAGUUGAGCGCUGAAGGUUGGUACUUGUACCAACUGGAUGAGCAGCGCACGGGUGAGUAACGCGUGGGGAAUCUGCCUUUGAGCGGGGGACAACAUUUGGAAACGAAUGCUAAUACCGCAUAAAAACUUUAAACACAAGUUUUAAGUUUGAAAGAUGCCAUUGCAUCACUCAAAGAUGAUCCCGCGUUGUAUUAGCUAGUUGGUGAGGUAAAGGCUCACUAAGGCGAUGAUACAUAGCCGACCUGAUAGGGUGAUCGGCCACAUUGGGACUGAGACACGGCCCAAACUCCUACGGGAAGCAGCAGUAGGGAAUCUUCGGCCAUGGACGAAAGUCUGACCGAGCAACGCCGCGUGAGUGAAGAAGGUUUUCGGAUCGUAAAACUCGGUUGGUAGAGAAGAACGUUGGUGAGAGUGGAAAGCUCAUCAAGUGACGGUAACUACCCAGAAAGGGACGGCUAACUACGUG
rnacentral:rRNA from 1 species